UAGGGAAUCUUCCGCAAUGGACGAAAGUCUGACGGAGCAACGCCGCGUGAGCGAUGAAGGCCUUCGGGUCGUAAAGCUCUGUUGUUAGGGAAGAACAAGUACCGUUCGAAUAGGGCGGUACCUUGACGGUACCUAACCAGAAAGCCACGGCUAACUACGUGCCAGCAGCCGCGGUAAUACGUAGGUGGCAAGCGUUGUCCGGAAUUAUUGGGCGUAAAGCGCGCGCAGGUGGUUUCUUAAGUCUGAUGUGAAAGCCCACGGCUCAACCGUGGAGGGUCAUUGGAAACUGGGGAACUUGAGUGCAGAAGAGGAAAGUGGAAUUCCACGUGUAGCGGUGAAAUGCGUAGAGAUGUGGAGGAACACCAGUGGCGAAGGCGACUUUCUGGUCUGUAACUGACACUGAGGCGCGAAAGCGUGGGGAGCGAACAGGAUUAGAUACCCUGGUAGUCCACGCCGUAAACGAUGAGUGCUAAGUGUUAGGGGGUUUCCGCCCCGUUAGUGCUGCAGCAAACG
rnacentral:rRNA from 1 species